rnacentral:sRNA from 2 species
ACCCGCCGCUGCCAAUCUACCUACCACUGCCAAUCUAUCUAUCACUGCUAAUCUAUCGCUGCUAAUCUAUCGCUGCUAAUCUAUCGCUGCCAACCUACCUACCGCUGCCAACCUACCUACUGCUGCCAACCUAUCUAUCGCUGCCAACCUAUAUAGGGUAAAUCAUGGUCCCAUUUGGUCCCAUUUUGUAAAAUGAGACCAAAUGAGACCAGGAUCACUAAUUUAUUAGUAAAACAUGAUCUGGGACUAGAUUUAUAAUAUAAACAGUGAAAAGUGACUAAUUUACUAAACACUAUAUGGGACCAGGACUAAGAUAUCUAAUAAUGGGACUGAGGAAAAAUUUGGUCCCAGUCCCAUGCAUGGUCACACAGCCAGUCUACAGCCAGUCUAGUUCAAAUAUAUACCAUAUAAAAGAAAUUUAAUGAGAUGAUUUUAGUAUUGUCUCUGAACAUAGCUAAAGUAUUUAAUUGAGUAAUUAGAGAACAUGAUAUAUAUUCUUCACUAUAAUAUGAUGUAUUAAGUACAGUUGUCCGCUACAACUGAUGAG